GAACGCACAUUGCGCCCGGCAGUAAUCUGCCGGGCAUGCCUGUCCGAGCGUCAUUUCUGCCCUCGAGCGCGGCUGCCUUUCGGGGCUGCCGCUGCCCGGCGUUGGGGCGCUACGGGAAGCCUCGCGCUAUCCCCCGUAGGCCCCGAAAUGAAGUGGCGGUCCUGCCGCGGCGCCCCCUGCGUAGUAUUACAGCUCGCAUCGGGACCCGGUGGAGACCAGCCGUCAAACCAUACUUUCUAAGUUUGACCUCGGAUCAGGUAGGGUUACCCGCUGAACUUA
rnacentral:misc_RNA from 1 species